rnacentral:rRNA from 1 species
CCUACGGGUGGCAGCAGUAGGGAAUAUUGCUCAAUGGGGGAAACCCUGAAGCAGCAACGCCGCGUGUAGGAUGAAGGUUUUAGGAUUGUAAACUCCUUUUGUGAGAGAAGAUAAUGACGGUAUGUCACGAAUAAGCACCGGCUAACUCCGUGCCAGCAGCCGCGGUGAUACGGAGGGUGCAGACGUUACUCGGAAUCUCUGGGCGUAAAGGGUGCGGAGGGGGUGUUGUAAGUCAGAUGUGAAAACCUGCAGCUUAACUAGAGAAAUGCAGUUGAAACUGUGAGUCUAGAGUGUGGGAGAGGUAGGUGGAAUUCUUGGUGUAGGGGUAAAAUGCGUAGAUAUCAAGAGGAAUA